rnacentral:rRNA from 1 species
CCUACGGGUGGCUGCAGUGGGGAAUAUUGGACAAUAGGGGGAACCCUGAUCCAGCCAUGCCGCGUGUGUGAAGAAGGCCCUCGGGUUGUAAAGCACUUUCAGUGAGGAAGAACGCCUGGUGGUUAAUACCCAUCAGGAAAGACAUCACUCACAGAAGAAGCACCGGCUAACUCCGUGCCAGCAGCCGCGGUAAUACGGAGGGUGCGAGCGUUAAUCGGAAUUACUGGGCGUAAAGCGCGCGUAGGUGGCUUGAUAAGCCGGUUGUGAAAGCCCCGGGCUCAACCUGGGAACGGCAUCCGGAACUGUCAAGCUAGAGUGCAGGAGAGGAAGGUAGAAUUCCCGGUGUAGCGGUGAAAUGCGUAGAGAUCGGGAGGAAUACCAGUGGCGAAGGCGGCCUUCUGGACUGACACUGACACUGAGGUGCGAAAGCGUGGGUAGCAAACAGGAUUAGAUACCCUAGUAGUC